rnacentral:rRNA from 1 species
UACGAAGGGGGCUAGCGUUGUUCGGAAUUACUGGGCGUAAAGCGCACGUAGGCGGCUAUUUAAGUCAGGGGUGAAAUCCCAGAGCUCAACUCUGGAACUGCCUUUGAUACUGGGUAUCUCGAGUAUGGAAGAGGUGAGUGGAAUUCCGAGUGUAGAGGUGAAAUUCGUAGAUAUUCGGAGGAACACCAGUGGCGAAGGCGGCUCACUGGUCCAUUACUGACGCUGAGGUGCGAAAGCGUGGGGAGCAAACAGG